rnacentral:rRNA from 1 species
AUGAACGCUGGCGGCGUGCCUUAUACCUGCAAGUCGAGCGAACGGACGAGAAGCUUGCUUCUCUGAUGUUAGCGGCGGACGGGUGAGUAACACGUGGAUAACCUACCUAUAAGACUGGGAUAACUUCGGGAAACCGGAGCUAAUACCGGAUAAUAUUUUGAACCGCAUGGUUCAAAAGUAAAACACGGUCUUGCUGUCACUUAUAGAUGGAUCCGCGCUGCAUUAGCUAGUUGGUAAGGUAACGGCUUACCAAGGCAACGAUGCAUAGCCGACCUGAGAGGGUGAUCGGCCACACUGGAACUGAGACACGGUCCAGACUCCUACGGGAGGCAGCAGUAGGGAAUCUUCCGCAAUGGGCGAAAGCCUGACGGAGCAACGCCGCGUGAGUGAUGAAGGUCUUCGGAUCGUAAAACUCUGUUAUUAGGGAAGAACAUAUGUGUAAGUAACUGUGCACAUCUUGACGGUACCUAAUCAGAAAGCCACGGCUAACUACGUG